rnacentral:lncRNA from 1 species
GGGGGUUCUGGGGGGUACUGGGGGGUACCGGGGGUUAACGGGGGGGUAACGGGGGAGGACUGAGGGGGCCGGCAGGGGGCGCUCUAGCACACAUCGGGCAACUCUAUGGUAGCGCCGCUCUAGCCGCGCGCUCUAUGGUGCCGCGCGCUACUUCCGGCCCGCCCCUGGGUUGGGGAGGGUGACCCGGAAGUGCUGUGGCGGGUUGGCGGGCGGGAACUACAACUCCCAGCAGCCCCCGCGGCGGGCGCGGCUUAACCCCUCCCCCCCCUUUCCCCCCCCCCUUCACACCCAGCCGGCGUCGCCGCCGUGCUGACGUCAUCGUCGCGGCGGCGUCACCGCGCCGCGGCGACGUCAUCACGCCGCGGCGACGUCAUCACGCCGCGGGACGCCGGCGGCCAGUCGUGAUAGCGGUGGCUGAUGGGUGCUCAGUGUCGUGA